rnacentral:rRNA from 1 species
UGCAGUCGAGCGGCAGCACGGGGAGCUUGCUCCCUGGUGGCGAGCGGCGGACGGGUGAGUAAUGCAUAGGAAUCUGCCCGGUAGUGGGGGAUAACGUGGGGAAACCCACGCUAAUACCGCAUACGUCCUAAGGGAGAAAGCAGGGGAUCUUCGGACCUUGCGCUAUCGGAUGAGCCUAUGUCGGAUUAGCUAGUUGGUAAGGUAACGGCUUACCAAGGCAACGAUCCGUAGCUGGUCUGAGAGGAUGAUCAGCCACACUGGGACUGAGACACGGCCCAGACUCCUACGGGAGGCAGCAGUGGGGAAUAUUGGACAAUGGGCGAAAGCCUGAUCCAGCCAUGCCGCGUGUGUGAAGAAGGCUUUCGGGUUGUAAAGCACUUUCAGCGAGGAAGAAAGCCUCUGGGCCAAUACCCCAGAGGAAGGACAUCACUCGCAGAAGAAGCACCGGCUAACUCCGUGCCAGCAGCCGCGGUAAUACGGAGGGUGCGAGCGUUAAUCGGAAUUACUGGGCGUAAAGCGCGCGUAGGUGGCUUGGCACGCCGGUUGUGAAAGCCCCGGGCUCAACCUGGGAACUGCAUCCGGAACGGCCAGGCUAGAGUGCAGGAGAGGAAGGUAGAAUUCCCGGUGUAGCGGUGAAAUGCGUAGAGAUCGGGAGGAAUACCAGUGGCGAAGGCGGCCUUCUGGCCUGACACUGACACUGAGGUGCGAAAGCGUGGGUA